UACGUAGGGUGCGAGCGUUAAUCGGAAUUAUUGGGCGUAAAGAGCUCGUAGGCGGUUUGUCGCGUCUGCUGUGAAAACUCGGGGCUUAACCCCGGGCCUGCAGUGGGUACGGGCAGACUAGAGUGCGGUAGGGGAGACUGGAAUUCCUGGUGUAGCGGUGGAAUGCGCAGAUAUCAGGAGGAACACCGAUGGCGAAGGCAGAUCUCUGGGCCGUAACUGACGCUGAGGAGCGAAAGCAUGGGGAGCGAACAGG
rnacentral:rRNA from 1 species